rnacentral:rRNA from 1 species
UACGGAGGGGGCUAGCGUUGUUCGGAAUUACUGGGCGUAAAGCGCGCGUAGGCGGACCUGCAAGUCGGGGGUGAAAGCCCGAGGCUCAACCUCGGAACUGCCUUCGAUACUGCGGGUCUCGAGUCCGGGAGAGGUGAGUGGAAUUCCUAGUGUAGAGGUGAAACUCGUAGAUAUUAGGAAGAACACCAGUGGCGAAGGCGGCUCACUGGCCCGGAACUGACGCUGAGACGCGAAAGCGUGGGGAGCAAACAGG